AUUGAACGCUGGCGGCAUGCCUUACACAUGCAAGUCGAACGGCAGCACGGGGCAACCUGGUGGCGAGUGGCGAACGGGUGAGUAAUGCAUCGGAACGUACCUUUCAGUGAGGGAUAACGUAGCGAAAGUUACGCUAAUACCGCAUAUUCUGUGAGCAGGAAAGCAGGGGAUCGCAAGACCUUGCGCUGAUUGAGUGGCCGAUGUCAGAUUAGCUAGUUGGUGAGGUAAAGGCUCACCAAGGCGACGAUCUGUAGCGGGUCUGAGAGGAUGAUCCGCCACACUGGAACUGAGACACGGUCCAGACUCCUACGGGAGGCAGCAGUGGGGAAUUUUGGACAAUGGGGGCAACCCUGAUCCAGCCAUGCCGCGUGAGUGAAGAAGGCCUUCGGGUUGUAAAGCUCUUUCGGCCGGGAAGAAAUCGCACGGGCUAAUACCCUGUGUGGAUGACGGUACCGGAAUAAGAAGCACCGGCUAACUACGUGCCAGCCGCCGCCGUAAAAC
rnacentral:rRNA from 1 species